rnacentral:lncRNA from 1 species
AUUUAUUGUGCAGACAAAAAAAGUGAUAAAUAGCAAGCUUUGUGAAUUUUACUGUUAACUCGGUUAGCACUGAUACUAUUAAAGUGUUGCAUGCAGUCUUGUUUUUGCUGUAAGAUAAACAGCUUAAACAAACUGCAAUGCAUGUAGUAGUCCCAGAAGAAUAGAUGGAGUUUACAGAAUAUAAUGUGAUGGGUCCAAAAAAAUUAAGAGAAGAGAAAAAUUAGCC